AGAGUUUGAUCCUGGCUCAGGACGAACGCUGGCGGCGUGCCUAACACAUGCAAGUCUGGGAGAAUUGGGUAGCAAUAUCCAUWGUAAACCGGCGCACGGGUGAGUAAUAUAUAGGUAAUAUGCCUUUUGGUUUGGAAUAACYCCGCGAAAGCGGKGCUAAUACCGAAUGAUGCAGCGGCUCCGCAUGGAGAUGUUGUUAAAGCUUCGGCGCCAAAAGAUUAACCUGUAUCCCAUUAGAUAGUUGGCGAGGUAACGGCUCACCAAGUCUGCGAUGGGUAGCUGAUCUGAGAGGAUGAUCAGCCACACUGGAACUGAGACACGGUCCAGACUCCUACGGGAGGCAGCAGUGAGGAAUAUUGCGCAAUGGAGGAAACUCUGACGCAGCGACGCCGCGUGAAGGAUGAAGGCCCUCUGGGUUGUAAACUUCUGUAGAGAGGGAAGAAUUUCYSSCUCCGSSRGAUUGACGGUACCUCUAAAGUAAGGGUCGGCUAACUACGUGCCAGCAGCCGCGGUAAUACGUAGGACCCAAGCGUUGUCCGGAUUUACUGGGUGUAAAGGGAGCGCAGGCGGAUUAUUAAGUCGAUUGUGAAAUCUUGCGGCUCAACCGCAAAACAGCAGUCGAUACUGWURAUCUUGAGUGUGGAAGAGAGYGGCGGAAUUCAUGGUGUAGCAGUGAAAUGCGUAGAUAUCAUGAAGAACACCGGUUGCGAAGGCGGCCACUUAGUCCAUUACUGACGCUCAUGCUCGAAAGCGUGGGGAUCAAACAGGAUUAGAUACCCUGGUAGUCC
rnacentral:rRNA from 1 species